rnacentral:RNase_P_RNA from 1 species
UCGGCGAAGCGGAGAAUCGCUCCGGCGUUCGCGCCGGGGAGGAAAGUCCGAACACCGCAGGGCAGGAUGCCGCGUAACCCGGUCUUGGACCGGGAUACACGCGGGAGGCACGGCCGAGAGGCCGACCGACGGACAGUGCCACAGAGAACAUACCGCCCCGGGCAACCGGGGUAAGGGUGAAAAGGUGGGGUAAGAGCCCACCGCGCCGAGCGUGAGCGAGGCGGCACGGAAAACCCCAUCCGGUGCAAGACCAAAUAGGGAGCCCAGGAACGGCCCGUUCCGGGUCGCGCGAAAGUGCGACGGGUUCCGGGUACGGUCGCUCAGAUAAAUGAUUCUCUCCCCCGGCAACGGGGCAGACAGAAUUCGGCUUACAGCUUCGCCGGAACC